GGGGCGAGAGGGGGGAGGGAGGAGGGGUGGAGAGGGGGCAGAGGUGAGGGGGGUGAGUAAGUGGGGGUGUGGGUGGCUGGGGGGGGAGAGGAGAGAGGGUAGGAAGGAAAAAAUUGGAGGUAGGGUGAGGGAAGGGGGAGGGUUGAAGGGAAACUAAUGAAACAGAGGACAAAGGAGAAUAACAAGUCAAAAGCAAUGCAUGUAAAUACAGAGCAAGCAAGUAGGAAAGCUAGGCAUAGCACAGCAAAAGAGAGCACAGCAACAGAAGGCAAAGAAUGACAAAAAGCAACCUUGCAGGAAUGGAGGACUCUGGCCAGAGCUGUGCCCCUGCUUGCCACAGGAGCUGCGCGGGAGGAGAAGAAUGUGGGCCAAAAGGAAUGGAGGACUCUGGCCAGAGCUGUGCCCCUGCUUGCCACAGGAGCUGCGCGGGAGGAGAAGAAUGUGGGCCAAAAGGAAUGGAGGACUCUGGCCAGAGCUGUGCCCCUGCUUGCCACAGGAGCUGCGCGGGAGGAGAAGAAUGUGGGCCAAAAGGUAAGAGGAGCUCCUUUGGGUUCUGGGCUUGAAGCAAAGCUGAGAAGCCAUGCCCGGGAGGAGGUGUGGGUAGCUACAGGCCAGCUUGCUAUCUCCCCAAGAGAUGAGGUGUGUGGGCUAGGCACCGGGCAGGAGUGCUGGCCAGAAGCAAGCAUCUCUGUGGAGGAAGGCAAAGGGCGGAGGAGGUUCAAGGGUAGCUACCCGGGCAUGGCCUUGCUCAGCAAGGGGAGGAAAAGCGUGAAGGGCACGAGAAGGGGACAGAGAAGGGCAGGCAGUAGGCGUGAAGCUGUGAGCAGAGUAGAGAGCAACUUGGCAGAGCAGCACGCAGAGUAGGCAAGUGUUGGGGUUUGGCGUGAGUAGCAGCAAAAGCCCAUAGCAUCAAGGAGCAGGAAGUGAGGAGAAGGUAAGUGAAGGGCAGGCAAGGUACUGGGAGGCAAAGGCAAGGGGAAAGGGGAGGGUAAGGGAGAAAAAGAGGGGAUGGGGAGGGGAGGGGAUGGGUGAAGAGCAGAGCGGAGGGAAGGGCUGAGGGGAGGGCUGAAGGCAAACCUAUGAUGAAAAAGAAAGAAAGAAAAAAUAAGAACAAAAAAUAUGAAAAAAGAGAAAAAAGAAAGAAAAAUAAGAAAAAGAGAAAAAAUGAAAGAAAAAAGAAAAAAUGAAUGAAAAAGAAAAAAGAUAAAAGACAAAAAGAAAAUGAACACAAAAGAAAAAAGAGAAAAGAAAAGAAAGAAAAUGAAAAAAAAGAGAAAAAAGAGAAAAAGAUAAAAAAGAAAAAAAAAAGAAAAGAAAAAACUAAUAGAUGAAAACAGAAAAAGCAUACAAAAAACCGAAUAAUGACAAGAGAAGAAAGGUAAAGAGAAAAGAAGAAAAAAGCCAAGUGAAAAAGUAAAGAAUAACUCAAAGGAAGGAGUGGAUGGCAAGAAAUACAGAGAAAGCAGUGCAUAGCAGAGCAAAGGAAAACCAAGGCAAAAAUAGCAGCCAAAGCCACGAGAAUCAAGAAGUCAGUGAAGAGCAGGAAAGGUAAGUUUCCCUUAAAGCGAGGGGGAAUGGUAGUGGAUGGGGGCAAAAGAGAGGGGAG
rnacentral:lncRNA from 7 species